rnacentral:rRNA from 1 species
CAUCAUGGCCCUUACGACCAGGGCUACACACGUGCUACAAUGGCGCAUACAAAGAGAAGCGACCUCGCGAGAGCAAGCGGACCUCAUAAAGUGCGUCGUAGUCCGGAUUGGAGUCUGCAACUCGACUCCAUGAAGUCGGAAUCGCUAGUAAUCGUGGAUCAGAAUGCCACGGUGAAUACGUUCCCGGGCCUUGUACACACCGCCCGUCACACCAUGGGAGUGGGUUGCAAAAGAAGUAGGUAGCUUAACCUUCGGGAGGGCGCUUACCACUUUGUGAUUCAUGACUGGGGUGAAGUCGUAACAAGGUAACCGUAGGGGAACCUGCGGUUGGA